AUUAUUUUAAAUGUAAAAUUUUAUACUAAAGUAGUAUUAGUUAUGUUCUUCAAAUUUAAAGAUUUUGGCGGUAUUUUAGUCUAUUCAGAGGAACCUGUUCUGUAAUUGAUAAUCCACGAUUAAUUUUACUUGAUUUAAUUAAUUUGUAUAUCAUCGUUAUUAGAUAAUUUUAUAAGAAUAUAAAUUUUUAAUAUUUCAAAUAAGUAAAUAAAUCAGAUCAAGAUGCAGUUUAUAAUUAAGAAGAAAUGGGUUACAAUAAAUUUAUUUAUAUGGAUUUUUAGAUGAAAUUUUAUUAUGAAGGUGGAUUUGAAAGUAAUAAUUUAUUUAAUUAAAUUUUAUGAUUUUAGCUCUAAAAUAUGU
rnacentral:rRNA from 1 species